CAGUCGCCACGGUAAUACGGAGGGUGCAAGCGUUAAUCGGAAUUACUGGGCGUAAAGCGCACGCAGGCGGUCUGUCAAGUCAGAUGUGAAAUCCCCGGGCUUAACCUGGGAACUGCAUUUGAAACUGUCAGGCUGGAGUCUUGUAGAGGGGGGUAGAAUUCCAGGUGUAGCGGUGAAAUGCGUAGAGAUCUGGAGGAAUACCGGUGGCGAAGGCGGCCCCCUGGACAAAGACUGACGCUCAGGUGCGAAAGCGUGGGGAGCAAACAGGAUUAGAUACCCGUGUAGUCCCUGUCUCUUAUAC
rnacentral:rRNA from 1 species